CCUACGGGUGGCAGCAGUCGAGAAUCAUUCACAAUGGGGGAAACCCUGAUGGUGCGACGCCGCGUGGGGGAAUGAAGGUCUUCGGAUUGUAAACCCCUGUCAUGUGGGAGCAAAUUAAAAAGAUAGUACCACAAGAGGAAGAGACGGCUAACUCUGUGCCAGCAGCCGCGGUAAUACAGAGGUCUCAAGCGUUGUUCGGAAUCACUGGGCGUAAAGCGUGCGUAGGCUGUUUCGUAAGUCGUGUGUGAAAGGCGCGGGCUCAACCCGCGGACGGCACAUGAUACUGCGAGACUAGAGUAAUGGAGGGGGAAGCGGAAUGCGCGGUGUAGCAGUGAAAUGCGUAGAUAUCGAGAGGAACACUGGUGGCGAAGGCGGGUUGCUGGACAUUAACUGACGCUGAGGCACGAAGGCGAGGGGAGCGAAAGGGAUUAGAUACCCUAGUAGUC
rnacentral:rRNA from 1 species